GAGGACCAGUGACCUCGUAAAUCCAUCUGGAAACACCAUAAACGCCAACGACGAGCGUUUCGCUCUCGCCGCCUAAUACCGGCGAGACGCUGCACUAGCCUGCUGAUGGGCUAGGCCCCGCCAACCGAGGCUUCGGCCGAGGUUCCAAACGGGGUGCAGCGUCAUUUACAUCAGCCUCUCUGUGCGGGGUGGCCGCUUCCCCGCACGGAUCCGUCGAAGCGGCUGGCUGAGCGUCAGCCUGCCGGUCGGCGGGCGCGAGGCGAGAUCCAAAUGAUCAGGCUAAGCAUGUAGUCCUGGCUGUCUAGGGCUUGCGGACGCGGGUUCGAUUCCCGCCGCCUCCACCA
rnacentral:tmRNA from 1 species